rnacentral:rRNA from 1 species
GAUAAACGCUGGCGGCGCACAUAAGACAUGCAAGUCGAACGGACUUAACUCAUUCUUUUAGAUUGAGAGCGGUUAGUGGCGGACUGGGGAGUAACACGUAAGCAACCUGCCUAUCAGAGGGGAAUAACAGUGAGAAAUCCUUGCUAAUACCGCAUAAGCUAGUAGCAUCGCAUGAUGUAGCUAGAAAAGGAGUAAUCCGCUGAUAGAUGGGCUUGCGUCUGAUUAGCUAGUUGGUGGGGCAACGGCCUACCAAGGCGACGAUCGGUAGCCGGACUGAGAGGUUGAACGGCCACAUUGGGACUGAGAUACGGCCCAGACUCCUACGGGAGGCAGCAGUCGGGAAUAUUGCGCAAUGGAGGAAACUCUGACGCAGUGACGCCGCGUAUAGGAAGAAGGUUUUCGGAUUGUAAACUAUUGUCGUGAGGGAAGAAAUUGACAGUACCUCAGGAGGAAGCUCCGGCUAACUAUGUGCCAGCCGCCGCGGUAA